rnacentral:lncRNA from 1 species
GCCAAGUGAAAGUAAUUUAUUUAAGAUGCUUUUUAAGUGAUUAGAAAAUAUCUAACCUAAAUAAAAUGAAUAGAGUGAAUUUUUAUCCUGAUAAAUUAUUUCCACUACUGAUUCUUUUACUCUAAACACCUUUUAAAAAGUAAUAAAUAUUCAACUGGCAUUGCUGUUUUAUACCUUCAGCUAUCAUGAGCAUCACUGUCCAUUGUCAAUUUCUUAUGAUCAUGACACUGCUUACUAUGGUUGUGAUAAGGUAGCAUGGUAAACUUAAAAUACACAUGCACACCGUCAUACACACAUUUAGCUAGACCUUAAUAAUAGUCACAUUUAAAAUAAUCUGUUGCUACUGAGUAAUAUCUUCUUCCAAAGUGUCAUAACAGUUACAUAAAGCAUUCCCAGAGUCAGAACCUUCAGAAAAUAAAGCCAAUUAUUUUCUCGAUGCAAAUUCUCCAUGUAAAUGUCUUUCCUAAAGAUGUGGUCUACCUCUGCACAGUGGCAGUAUCAUAGUCAAUGAGGUUUAUCCAAUGUGUGAUUAUUGUUAAUUGAAAACUUUUCCCAAUACCCCACCAUGAUGACUUGAAAUAUAGUCAGCAUGGGCAAUUUUUGAGUGUCUUUAUGGAGACUGAACAAAAGAAAAUAAAUAAAUAAGAAGAAGAAGAUAUGGCCAAGAGAAAAUAUAUUAUAUUCAGAGCAUAUUAUGAGAGUCAUUUUUCUGGGUACAUUUUUUCCUGUGAAUUAAUUUCACCAUGCCAACCCUUACCAUAUGGACUGGGCAUGGUGGCUUACACCUGUAAUCCCAGCAUUUUGAGAGGUAGAGGCAGGUGAAUUACUUGAAGCCAGGAGUUUGAGACUAGCCUGGGCGACAUGACAGAACUCUGUCUUUAGAAAAGAUACAAAAAAAUUGGCCAGGCGUGGUGGUGUGUAUCUGUAGACCCAGCUACUCCAGAGCCUGAAGUGGGAGGAUCACUUCAGCCUGGGAAGUCAAGGCAGCAGUGAGCCGAAAUUGCACCACUGCACUCCAGACUGGGCGACACAAUGAGAAGAGAACCCUGUCUCAAAAAAAAAAAAAAAAAAAAAAAAAGCCAUGAUGAACAUAGAGUCCAAAGACAUGCUUUUUUUCUUGAUUACUUACAACUACUAAAUAAUCUAUAAGAUAUCUUCUGAUUCUAAAAUUCUAUGUUGCAGUUAUCGUUGCAUGCGUAUUCUGUUUUUUAAGCUCUAAAUACCAAAAGAAUUUGGAUUAUGUGGCACCUAAUAAAAUCUAGUAUAACAGUGAAUCCAUGAAUUAGCAACAUAGCCAUGAUUUAAGAUUUUUUUUUUUUUUUGGAGACAAGGUCUUUUGCCCAUGCUGGAGUGCAGAGGCACAAUCACAACUCACUGCAGCCUCAGCCUCCAGGGCUCAAGUGAUCCUCUCACUUCAGCCUCCAGAGGAGCUGGACCUACAAGCACAUGUCACCAUGCCCAGCUAAUUUUAUUAAAUUUUUUGCAGAGAGGGGGUUUUGCCGUGUUGCCCAGGCUGGUCUCGAACUCCUGAACUCAAGCAACUGGCCUGCCUCAGCCCCCCAGAGUGAUGGAAUUACAGGCAUGAGCCAACAUGCCAAGUCUUUGUUUCUGUUUCAAAUUUAUGAACUACAACCGGUUUCUAACAGUCUUUAGUAUCCCAAAUAUCUGCAAAACUGAAACAUUUUAAAUUUUCAAUCAAUGAAAUAUGCACAUAGUACAAUAUUAUAUGAUAUUCCAAAGGAACUAAAAAUUAUACAAAGAAAAAUAGGUUUUUUUCUCACACUACUGCUCAACUCCUUUUCCAAAAUACAAUCACUUUUACCAUAUUUUAUAUUCUUUUAAAAGUAAUCUACAUAUUUAAAAAUAAAUAAGCACAUAAAUACUAUGGAGAUGUAUAAUUCGAAAAGUAAGGAGUGUGGUGUCGAAAAUGCAACAUUCUCCUCCUAAAGCAACAAAAUAAAACAACAAACACACAUGCACACACAUGUAAGUAAAGACACAGGUAAAAGGUGACAUGAAAAACUUGGUAAUUAAUGAUGCAGUCAUAACAGAAAAUAAAAAGAUAAAGACAGCAAUGGUGAUGUUAUGUAGGCAAAGCAAAAGCCUUGGGAAAAAACUGCUUUGCCUUUGCAAUGUAGUGGGGUGGAAAUCAUACUGACUUUGUUGUCAGAUAGAUCUAGAUUUAAAUCCUGUGAUAGCCCCUUAUUAGCUACAUGGCCGUGGGCAAAAUAACUAGUUCUCUAGUUCAUUUUCAACUUCAAAAGUGUAAUAACAGGUAACAGAUCAUAAUGGAGUCCUGAGGAUUGGAUGAGAGGGUGUUUGUAUGAGAUUUUGCAUAUAAAAUUCUAUUUCUCACUGCUUUGAAGAUCAUAGACUUAAACAUCUUUCAUAGCCCCGUUUUUGUUUGUUUUUAGAAACAGCAUCUUGCUCUGUUGCCCAGGCAAUGGCGUGCUCUUGGCUCACUACAGCCUUGACCUCCUGGGCUCAAGAAAUCCUCCCAGCUUAGCCUCCCAAGUAGCUGGGAAUACAGGCACAUACCACCACACCCAGGCUUUUUUUUUUUUUUUUUUUUUUUUUUUUUUUGUACAGAAGAGGUCUCACUCUGUUGCCCAGGCUGGUCUCAAACUCCUGGCUCAAGUAAUCCUCCCUCCUUGGCCUCCCAAAGUGUUGGGAUUGCAGGCCUGACCCAUCAUGCCCAGCCUCAUGGCUCUUUUUAAAAAGAAAAAUAAACAACACAACAACAGCAACAAUAAAGCAAUCAAGUAGGUAGAGUAAAACUGCAUGACCUCAUAGUAAUGCAAAAUCCCAUGUAAAAUGCAAUUAGGAAUCAUCUCCUAGGCCCCCGAACCUCCCAGCCAGCCAGCUGCACCGGCUCACCUGUCAUUUUAUUAUCCCUGCAAUCAUCUGAGUCUUUCCUUUUCUUACUGACAUUUUUUUAACCUCACUUAUGGCAAUAUAAUGGGGUUCUCCUACACGAAAAAUUAAGAUAAUUUUCACUAUGAAUACAGUAAUAAUCCCAUCACUUAAGUAAAAAGCUAAAUUACCUUCAAUGUACUGUUUUUGAUCCUGAAACUAAAAUUAAAUAUACUUAUACACACAUAACUCCGUUUACCAAAGCAGAUACAAAUAAAAUAUAUUUUAGAACUAUGACCUUUUGCAACAAAAACUUUCUAAUGGCUAACUUGAAAAUAGUCAGAAGAAUUUGUUAUCUAGGAUAAUAGAAUACUCCAUUUUACCAGAUGACUGCAGGUUUAUUAUACAUAUAAGAAAGUCCAACUGGAAAAUUAUGCUGUUUGUGGACUUGUAUAUCAAAUUAGCUUUGAGUCAGUCAGUUAUUUGACCUAGAGGCCCUUUGGGCUUGCCUAGGAGCCACACCCUCAUUUGUAAUCUGCCCCAAUAAUCUAAUGUCAUUGAAAUGUAUUACAUCAUUCCCUUGAUACUGAUUUUACAUGGAUAUUUGAUUUUCUCGACAUAAAGUUAUUAAAUUUAAAAAAUGAACAAAUAAAUACAGAAAGCCUAUGUUGUCAUGGGUAACAAGAAUUUAUUGAAAGCUUUUUUCUUUCCCUCACUUGCACUACCAGAAAAAAUGCAGGGAGGGAAUCAUUGACAAGCUCAGGCCUUGGAUUAGUCUGCACCAACUCUCCCAGAUAGCCUUGAAAGAAGAAUAAAUAUGAGUGAUUCUGACAGGAAUCCCAUGAACAUAUCAGUUAGGUAAUUUUUUCACAAAUUCCACCUAUCUGCGGCAGUGACUAUAUUAAUAUAGAAACAAGGGCAAAGAAAGUUACCAUUUUUUUUAUGAAACUGUUCACAAUAAGCGUUAUUAAACAAAUAUUAUAAACAAGGUCAUGAUAAGCUCUGCUGAAUCAGAAAUGUGCACGCGUAUCUGGUUCAGGGUCAAUAAGCAUGAACAUUUUUCAAAAAACAAUCGGUCAAUUUCAUGAAUUUGUUAACUGCUAGAACUACACUUUUGAACACCAAUAUUUACCUACUAAGAAAUUAUUUUUCUUCUUUUUAAAAUUUUUUGUUUUGUAAAAACACUACACGCCUUUAGAGCCUACUUAGAAAUGACAAGAAAAUGAUUUAAGGGACUACUGUAGAAAAAAGAUUUUUAAAACACAUUUUAAAAUUUAGAGUAACUACUGGCUUUUGAAAAUGGCAUACAUUUUUAAUAGAAUAUACCUAAAUUAGUUUUGUAUAUUUAAUAAUUUUCAGAAUAAUUUAUAUGAGCACAGAGACCUAUGAUAAAGAUUAAUAUUAAAGAUAGCGAUAAAAUUAGUCAUCAAUGAUAUAAAAAAUAAAUAAAAUUAUUUAUAUCUAGAUUCCAUCCCAUCCUCACCUCUUGUUACUCUCCUUUAAACCUCCCUCUAGGUCCAAAGAAUGUUUGAGUACAAAUUUAGGGAGAACAGUCAGUAAUUUCCACUGAUAAUAAAUAUCUCAGUUACUUUAAAUAAUUACAACCUUAAUUUUUUUUUUUUUUUUUUUGAG